AGAUCGGCUACCCUACUCGAUAAGGAUUCUGCUCGAGUCGGCAAUCAGAAACUGCGACGAGUUCCAGGUCACGGGGAAGGACGUUGAGAAGAUCCUAGACUGGGAGAACAGUGCCACCAAGCAAGUCAAAAUCCCGUUCAAGCCAGCCCGUGUCCUCCUCAAGGAUUUCACUGGUGUCCCAGCAGUUGUUGAUCUUGCUUGUAUGAGGGAUGCUAUGAGCAAACUUGGGAGUGAUCC